rnacentral:rRNA from 1 species
CACGUAGGGCGCAAGCGUUGUCCGGAAUUAUUGGGCGUAAAGAGCUCGUAGGCGGUCUGUUGCGUCCGCUGUGAAAACUCGGGGCUUAACCCCGAGCCUGCAGUGGAUACGGGCAGACUAGAGGUAGGUAGGGGAGAAUGGAAUUCCUGGUGUAGCGGUGAAAUGCGCAGAUAUCAGGAGGAACACCGGUGGCGAAGGCGGAUCUCUGGGCCUGUCCUGACGCUGAGGCGCGAAAGCUAGGGGAGCGAACAGG